GGCAGAGGUGCCGAGCGUUAGGCGGAAUCACUGGGCUUAAAGCGUGUGUAGGCGGGCGGGCAAGUACCUUGUGAAAUCCCACGGCUCAACCGUGGAACGGCUGGGUAUACUGCCUGUCUUGAGCCAACUAGGGGCGAGCGGAACAGACGGUGGAGCGGUGAAAUGCGUAGAUAUCGUCUGGAACGCCGAAGGUGAAAACAGCUCGCUGGGGUUGUGCUGACGCUGAGACACGAAAGCCAGGGGAGCGAACGGG
rnacentral:rRNA from 1 species